GUAAACAAGACGAAGCCUGCAAACCCAGGACACCACGCGAACCCUCGGACCGACUCACCACCAUUGAUCGAUCUCACCACAGACGAAGACCAACGUGAUGGCCUGGUCAGCAAUGGUCGCACUACCAGCACAGACCCAUUCGAGGAGACCCCGACUGUAGUGGACCUCACACAAGAGAAAGAGGACGACCCGAAGGAGGACGCUGACAUUCUCAUCUGCUACGUUACAGAUGAGGAGUGGAAAGAGGCAGGGUUUG